CAAAGUCAGUGGAAAGCAACUCAAACUGGCUUAACGUGAAAAGCCUGCAAUUACUCUGCUCCAGCUUGGGGUUCUGAACCAUAUUCGGGCAGGGAGCCUGGAGCCAGGCACCGGUCAUGCCCAGCUUGGCUCUGUCUGUUCCUGUUGAGGGGCAGCAUCCUUAGGUGGACAAUGCUUGCUCUGGACCUCUCUUUUAGUUGGCUGGGGCUUUGUCAAAUAUGCUUCAGGAAGUCGCAGGCGGAGACUGUUAGGUGUUGGGGGUCUAGAAGAAAUGGAUCCCAUUUAUCAGAUGGAACAAUGAGGCCCCUGCUCCAGCUGUAGUUACAGAACUGAGAUGCCAGGAUGGUAGUGUGCUCCAUCCAGUUAUUCCUGCUGCACCGAGGGAGAAGGCCUUUUCAAC
rnacentral:lncRNA from 1 species